rnacentral:lncRNA from 1 species
GAUGAUAUGCACCUUGAAAGUUAAACAUCCUAUGAUAAAAGUUUUGUACAUCUAAAGAAAAAAAAAUAAUGGAAAACCGUAUACAUGUACUUCCGUCCCAUCUUUCCUUCCUACAUUACUUGCGACAGUACUGCAUUUUUAAUUGAAACAACUUAAAGGGUAAACAUUAUUAAAUCAAUUUCCACAACUUGAGGUAAUUUAUGAUAAAAUGACAUCACAAAAUGAUCAGAACCAGAAUCAACCAACA